ensembl:misc_RNA Metazoa_SRP Metazoan signal recognition particle RNA
GCCAGGUGUGGUGGUGCACGCCUGUAAUCCCAGCUACUCGGGAGGCUGAGGCAGAAGAAUCGCUUGAACCUAGGAGGCAGAGGUUGCAGUGAGCUGAGAUUGCACCACUGCACUCCAGCCUGGGUGAUAAAGCAAGACUCUGUCUCAA